rnacentral:rRNA from 1 species
CGAGGAAUCUUGGUCAAUGGGCGCAAGCCUGAACCAGCGACGCCGCGUGGAGGAUGAAGGCCCUCGGGUCGUAAACUCCUUUUGGGUGGGAAGAAGCUCUGACGGUACCACCCGAAUAAGCCCCGGCUAACUACGUGCCAGCAGCCGCGGUAAUACGUAGGGGGCGAGCGUUGUCCGGAUUUAUUGGGCGUAAAGCGCACGCAGGCGGUCCGUUUAGUCCGUUGUGAAAGCUCCCGGCUCAACUGGGAGAGGUCUUCGGAUACUGGCGGACUCGAGGGAGGCAGAGGAAGGUGGAAUUCCGGGUGUAGUGGUGAAAUGCGUAGAGAUCCGGAGGAACACCAGUGGCGAAGGCGGCCUUCUGGGCCUUUCCUGACGCUGAGGUGCGAAAGCGUGGGGAGCGAACCG